CACGAACGCUGGCGGCAGGCUUAACACAUGCAAGUCGAGCGCCCCGCAAGGGGAGCGGCAGACGGGUGAGUAACGCGUGGGAAUCUACCCAUCUCUACGGAAUAACGCAUGGAAACGUGUGCUAAUACCGUAUACGUCCUUCGGGAGAAAGAUCUAUCGGAGAUGGAUGAGCCCGCGUUGGAUUAGCUAGUUGGUGGGGUAAAGGCCUACCAAGGCGAUGAUCCAUAGCUGGUCUGAGAGGAUGAUCAGCCACACUGGGACUGAGACACGGCCGAGACUCCUACGGGAGGCAGCAGUGGGGAAUAUUGGACAAUGGGCGCAAGCCUGAUCCAGCCAUGCCGCGUGAGUGAUGAAGGCCCUAGGGUUGUAAAGCUCUUUCACCGGUGAAGAUAAUGACGGUAACCGGAGAAGAAGCCCCGGCUAACUUCGUGCCAGCCGCCGCAGUAAGAC
rnacentral:rRNA from 1 species